GUGAAGGUGGCUCAGUGGUGGAGUGCUUGCCUUGCAUGCAUGAGGCCCAGGGUUCGAUUCCUCAGCACCACA
rfam:Dipodomys ordii contig_97996, whole genome shotgun sequence.